AAUAAUGCUGACCCUCUCUACCCUAGCACAGCGUUUGUCUUGAGGAAUGUGAGGCUCCUGAGAUUGAGUCACAUGGGCAAGGCCAGCUCAGGAUGCAGAGGUCUGCAUUGAUCCUUAAUCUGCAUUUUUAAACAUCCUCUUCCCCCAUCCCACACAGCAUCUCUCCUCUGUUCUAAGACCUGCAAGGUGAAGUGGAGUGGUGGAUGGGAAAUAAUUUCAAAGGAAUGGAACCCUGGGAAUGCAGUCUGCACAGGGGUACUGCAGGCGCCCAUUUUAAUUAUUGAUUCGAAAGCCUGUCACUGGGGAGCAGGGAAGGUUUUUUUUUAUUAUUUAUUAUUUUUUCAUUGCACACUUCCUAUGCACUGUGAUCAGUACUUGGAAGCCACGUACUGUUUAACCCUUACCAUCCUAUGGAUUGUGCUCCGGAUCCUUUUCUAACUGGGCCUCUGCGAGACUGAAGAAUUAAUCCGGUACCAAGCUGCCUCCGGUCGCUGGUGUUUCUCAGCCGCAUGCCUGGCAGAGGUUGUUCAGAAACAGUUCCUCGGUGCGGCUCCUGAACGAUGCGGAGCAUCUGCAGUGUGCCGUGCCCGCGCUAUCUUGACUACUGCUUUCUGGCAGAGCGGGGGAGUGUACUCGGUGGCUGGGCAGCCUGAGUCAGCUUGAUGGACCUGGACACCGAGUGGGGAAGGACUGAAGUCAAGAGGAGGGAGUUAGCGUCUUGGUGCCCGUUAUUCCCAUCUGUGUUGCUGCGACAGGAUUCUUCACCCAGCAGCAGCAGCAGCAGCAGCAGCAGCAGCAGCAGCAGCAACAGCAACAGCUCAUUCCAGCGUCCCCCACACUCCCUGCACCAGCCUCCAGGGGUCUCUGCUGAAAGAUGCACCUGCUGUCUGUAUGCACACACUGUGGUCCUUAGGAAGCUGUGGCUCUACACUCCCCAAAUCCAGCCUCUCACUGCUCCAGCCCUGCUUCCCCUUUUGAUUCUGUAUUUUUAUGUGAAGGACCAGGCAAUACCACUCAUUAAAUAUGUUGGAGGGUUUUGCCCUUUGAAAGUAGUCAAACAGUUAAUAACUGCAAGUUUUUUUUUAAUGACAUCUGUUUAUUACAUGAGCAUGUAUGUGUAUGUGUGUGUAUGUGUCACAGGAUACAUGUAGAGGCCAGAGGAUAAAUUAUGGGAGUGGGUUCUUACCUUGCACUGUGUAGGUCCUGAGAAUUGAACUCGGGUCAUUGAGCAUCUUUACGGUGAGCCGUCCUGCUGGUCUAGUAACUACAAGUGUUGGUAGCUUCCUGGACACUCAUCUCUUGCUCCGGUUUUUCUCCUAAAUCUGGAAACACAGAAAUGUGGAGAAAAGCUCCAAACCUCUUCUUGAUUUUCUACCCUGAUCCAAGAGGUCCCCAGAGAACGUGCCAGCCUUUUCCCUUAAUGGUGCUAGGGGUGGGAAGGCAGGAGUCUGCUUGCAUUUCCAGUUAGAACCUCCUGUUCUAUCCAGAUUGCCUCUCUCUUGUGAAACUGUGGGACUGAAGGUUUGGCCCAUCCCACUGAGGGAGGAAAAGCUCUUGUUUACAUCCAUCCAAAAGUAACCACCAAAGACAAAACCAGGCAUUUGGCAAGCCAAGCAGAUCAAACAUGGUCCCUGCCCUAGAGCAGGCUGGGUCUAGGAGGGGCCCAUCAGUGAAACAGUGUAAGCCUAAACCUAAACACUCUCAAAAUACAAUCAAUCAUUGAUGCUUAGUGCCAUCUGUGGAGGUCUCAGGGGGCUGCCUGGGAGAAUAUAUAACAACCGAGUGAUGCCCCAGAGACGUCAGCCCAUGUGGGAUGGCACAAUGGUGCCUGAGAACAUUUGUGUUUAGGGGCCUAUAGAGAGGUAUAUAAAGCCAGGGCAGAGGACGAGAUGCACUGGGUCACUGGGAUAGAGCACUGAGGUGAUGAACUUCAUGGGGAGAGAGAGACUCGCUCUCCUACAGGACCUGGGAUGACACCCUACAGAGACCACGGGAGCUGGCUGGGAUGAGACCCAUCUGCACACAGACAGCUCACGCUAGCAGUUGUGUGAGAGAGUUGGCAAGAUCUGAGGCAGGAAAGUGGCUACUAGGCUGUGUCAUAAUACUAGCUGGUGGCUCUGAAGAUGUGUAAGAGAUGUUCCACUGCUCUCUGAGCCAAAACAGUGAUUCAAAGCAGUGGGUACGAAUGAAUAAAGCUGGUGCCCAAGCUUCUUCUUGGAGUAACUCAUCCAGCAGAGACACUGGGUUUAACCUGAGAAGACAUUGCCAGGAGAGCUGAAGGAUCCAGGGGACCAGGAUAGGAAGGGCCAAUGGACAGCAAGGCUCGGGGGUGGUUCACAGUUUGGAGUGGGCCACAUACCAGUGUCUGGGUGCCAUUCGGUGGCUACUGAACACUGGUGUCCAUUUGGAGGCUGAUGAACGACGUGGUGUGAGGCUGUAUGUCAGGAAGUUUAUUCUGGGAGUUGUGUGGAGGAGGCACCAGAGUAGGAAGGGAGUUGUGUCCGUUACUUUUCUUGUUGCUCUGACAAACACCUGAUA